CUGUCUCGGCGUCCCCCCCUCCCCCCGCCUUCUUUCAAAAUAAAUAAACUUAAAAAAAAAAAACUUAAAUGGUGGCAGUAGUAAAAUCCUCAGGGUGCCCCCACCCUUGGCUUUAGUCAUUCAGAUGAUCCAAAACACUUCUUUUGGUGAUGAGUUGAUUAAACUAUGACAGUUAUACCAAUAGACCCUAUUAAUUGAAAACACAAGUUAAAAAUUUAAUCUGUUAACCUAUAAGAGCUGGCUAUUUACAGAGUAAAUAAAACAAACAUUUGAGUUCAGCGCUGAAAAAAAAAAGAUUUUAUUAGUCCUUAAGACAGAC